CCUGGUUGAUCCUGCCAGUAGUCAUAUGCUUGUCUCAAAUAUUAAGCCAUGCAUGUCUCAGUGCAUGCCGAAUUAAGGUGAAACCGCGAAUGGCUCAUAAAAUCAGUUAUGGUUCAUUAGAUUGUACCAACAUUUACUUGGAUAACUGUGGUAAUUCUAGAGCUAAUACAUGCAAAACAGAGUCCCGACCAGUGAUGGAAGGGACGCUUUCAUUAGAUCAAAACCAAUUGGUGGCGCGCGGUCCGCCGUGCGUCCACCGUUUAUUUUGGUGACUCUGAAUAACUUUGUGCUGAUCGCACGGUCUCUGCACCGGCGACGCAUCUUUCAAAUGUCUACCUUAUCAACUGUCGGUGGUAGGUUCUGCGCCUACCAUGGUUGUAACGGGCAACGGGGAAUCAGUGUUCGAUUCCGGAGAGAGAGCCUGAGAAACGGCUACUACAUCCAAGGAAGGCAGCAGGCGCGCGAAUUACCCACUCCCGGCACGGGGAGGUAGUGACGAAAAAUAACGAUACGGGACUCAUCCGAGUCCCCGUAAUCGGAAUGAGUACACUUUAAAUCUUUUAACGAGGAUCCAUUGGAGUGCAAGUCUGGUGCCAGCAGUCGCGGUAAUUCCAGCUCCAAUAGCGUAUAUUAAAGUUGUUGCGGUUAAAAAACUCGUAUUUGAAUCUGUGCCGCACACCGUCAGUUCACCGCUCGCGGUGUUUAACUGGCGUGAUGUGGGACGUUCUACCGGUGGGCUUAGCCUCGCGAGAAGCGGCCCAACUAAUAUCCUGUCGCGGUGCUCUUUACUGAGUGUCGAGUCGGACCAGUACAUUUACUUUGAACAAAUUAGAGUGCUUAAAGCAGGCUAUCCUCACCUGAAUACUGCGUGCAUGGAAUAAUGCAAUAGGACCUCGGUUCUAUUUUGUUGGUUUUCGGAACCCCGAGGUAAUGAUUAAUAGGGACAGAUAGGGGCAUUCGUAUUGCGACGUUAGAGGUGAAAUUCUUGGAUUGUCGCAAGACGGACAGAAUCGAAAGCAUUUACCAAAAAUGUUUUCAUUAAUCAAGAACGAAAGAUAGAGAUUCGAAGGCGAUCAGAUACCGCGCUAGUUCUAACCAUAAACGAUGCCAGCUAGCGAUCCGCUGAAGUUCCUCCGAUGACUCGGCGGGCAGCUUCCGGGAAACCAAAGAUUUUGGAUUCCGGGGGAAGUAUGGUUGCAAAGCUGAAACUUAA
rnacentral:rRNA from 1 species